AGUGAACGCUGGCGGUAGGCCUAACACAUGCAAGUCGAACGGCAGCACAGAGGAGCUUGCUCCUUGGGUGGCGAGUGGCGGACGGGUGAGGAAUACAUCGGAAUCUACUUUUUCGUGGGGGAUAACGUAGGGAAACUUACGCUAAUACCGCAUACGACCUACGGGUGAAAGCAGGGGACCUUCGGGCCUUGCGCGAUUGAAUGAGCCGAUGUCGGAUUAGCUAGUUGGCGGGGUAAAGGCCCACCAAGGCGAAGAUCCGUAGCUGGUCUGGGAGGAUGCUACGCCACACGGGAACUGAGACACGGUCCAGAAUACUACGGGAGGAAGCAGUGGGGAAUAUUGGCCAAUGGGCGCAAGCCUGAUCCAGCCAUACCGCGUGGGUGAAGAAGGCCUUCGGGUUGUAAAGCCCUUUUGUAGGGAAAGAAAUCCAGCCGGCUAAUACCUGGUUGGGAUGACGGUACCCAAAGAAUAAGCACCGGCUAACUUCGUGCCAGCCGCCGCAGUAA
rnacentral:rRNA from 1 species